GCCUCCUUAGCUUAGUGGCAAAGCAACGGUUUUGUAAACCGUCGACGUCAGUUCAAUUCUGGCAGGAGGCU
rnacentral:tRNA from 1 species